GCCGGGUGUGGUGGCAGGCACCUGUAAUCCCAGCUACUCGGGAGGCUGAGGCAGGAGAAUUGCUUGAACCCGGGAGAUGGGGGUUGCAGUGAGCUGAUUGUCCCACUGCAUUCCAGCCUGGGUGACAGAGCAAGACUCCGUCUCAA
ensembl:misc_RNA Metazoa_SRP Metazoan signal recognition particle RNA